UCCCAGCCGUAAACGAUGGGUGCUAGGUGUGGGGAGUUAAAUCUCUCCGUGCCGAAGGUAACCCGUUAAGCACCCCGCCUGGGGAGUACGGGCGCAAGCCUGAAACUCAAAGGAAUUGACGGGGACCCGCACAAGCGGUGGAGCAUGUGGUUUAAUCCGAUGCAACGCGCAGAACCUUACCAGGGUUUGACAUGCUGGCUCAAGCCUGCCCGAAAGGGAGGGGUGGGUACGGC
rnacentral:rRNA from 1 species